rnacentral:lncRNA from 1 species
AGAACUGUUAACAUAAGGAAAAACGUACCAACAAAGCAAGCUCUGCAUUCAUGGAAUGUAUCUUGUAUGACACUUUAUACUUUUUAGAGGUAGUGAAUAAAGCAUAGAGUUGGAGAAACAGAAGACCUGGUUUUGAUAUGAAACAACAUUAUUUUCAAUUUGACUAAAUAGCGUGGUCACACGGCACAGGUUCAGGCUUCAGUGAAUCUGUAAGGUGGUGGAUACUUAUAUGAUGUUGAUUAUGAGAAGUUUCCUUUAAGCAUGUUUCCCAAGAAGCAAGCUCACAAUUUUCCAGGUUUCACAGUGACUUCACA